GUGCAACAUAGGUUUGGCCUUAGAAAAUUCAAGAUCAAUUGUUAACGUAGUUAACCAAAAAAUAAUAUAUUGCAAGUGGUUUUUGCUCAAGUGGUUAAGAGCAUUUAACAUGCAAACAAUAUCUUAGAUUCAAUUCGAUCCCUCUUCAAUGUCGCUUGUAUUUUAAAAAAAAAAAUGUAAUAAGGCCUUGUUCCAGAUUGGUUUUUUUUUUUUUUUUUUGGUGCCAAAAACCUGCUUUACUUUAAAGAUAAGUAGUUUAAGGGGUUUGGAAAAAAUAAAAUAUCCCUAUUAUUUUAAAAGCAAAGGUCUUUUGACAUCACCACCACCACCACAUCCUCCUCCUCCUCCACUACCACCACCACCACCUCCUCCUCAACAUCCACCAUCUCCACCACCUCCACUUUCACCACCACCACCACCUCUUUCACCAGC
rnacentral:lncRNA from 1 species